AACGAACGCUGGCGGCAGGCUUAACACAUGCAAGUCGAACGCCCCGCAAGGGGAGUGGCAGACGGGUGAGUAACGCGUGGGAAUCUACCUAGUUCUACGGAACAACUGAGGGAAACUUCAGCUAAUACCGUAUACGCCCUACGGGGGAAAGAUUUAUCGGAAUUAGAUGAGCCCGCGUAAGAUUAGCUAGUUGGUGGGGUAAUGGCCUACCAAGGCGACGAUCUUUAGCUGGUCUGAGAGGAUGAUCAGCCACACUGGGACUGAGACACGGCCCAGACUCCUCCGGGAGGAAGCAGUGGGGAAUAUUGGACAAUGGGCGCAAGCCUGAUCCGGCCAGGCCGCGUGAGUGAUGAAGGCCUUAGGUUUGUAAAGCUCUUUCAGUAGGGAAAAUAAUGCCGGUACCUACAGAAGAAGCCCCGGCUAACUUCGUGCCAGCCGCCGCAGUAA
rnacentral:rRNA from 1 species